CCCCUCUCAGGAUCGCACCUGCAGAGUUUCCAGUACUCUACCAGUCUCAGCUACAGGAGGGAAAGUCAAGCAGAAGCAUACCGAUUCCAUUCCUAGCUUGGGCAGUGGCUAGCGAGUGGAAAGCAAUCUGCUACAAGU
rfam:Ornithorhynchus anatinus chromosome 10, whole genome shotgun sequence.